rnacentral:sRNA from 1 species
UUUUAUGCUAGAAUGAAGGUGUAGUUAGUUUAACUACUAGUCUUUUAUAUUCAUGAACAUAUUACUCUUAGGGUGGCUCUUGUAGCCACCUUUUUUUUA